rnacentral:lncRNA from 1 species
UACCAAUAAAUAAGGAAGCGAUUAAAAUAAAUUCGAUCUCACAGUAAUUGCAGAACCAAAUCUUCAGUUGUCCCUUGACUAGAAUUAGAAGGUUAGUCCCCCAUUAAUGGAGAACAACCAUGCGCAAAAGCUAUCUGAAUCUUACAAAAUUGUUCCUGGCCAAAUCGGCCAACUAGCCAAGGAAAAGUAAUAAGAACAAAAUAAUUGUGCUCUUUUAUUUCUCCCGUGAAAAGAAGAUCCGAAUUUGUUGCUAGCUCCCGUCUUUAUCACGCGGGAUCCGUCCUUUUUUCCUCUUCAAAGUCGGCUGGCCUUCCUUCCUUUUCUCCCUAAUUCCUUACAAAGACAUACGAAAGUCUCUUUCCUUCCGUCAAACUCAAGCUAAAAGACUUCCUAAUAGUCUAGAAUCCUAGUCUAUAUGACCCUUCCUAAUCUAAUAGAUUUUCCUAAUAAAAAAAUAGUUUUCUCAUAGUACUCAACUACUAAAUAGAAAAAGACAAUAAUUAUUCCAGCAUAGCCUCGAACUUGGAAUCGACAAUUCUUUGGAAACUACCUCGUGCGCGUGAGAUCUCGAAUCUUCUGGACUUGAAUGUAGGUCCCGAACGUGCCUCCACUAAAUUAGAUGGAAAUUGUCCCUUUUAAUCAUGUUUUGGUUAUUUUUCCUACAAUUAGCACUAUUAACCAAAUAUAAGUAGAAUCCAUCAAUUAAUACAAUAUUUGGCUAAAAUAAAAGGGAAAAAUAAUUAUAAAUGUAGUAACAAAUUAUAACUUAUCAAUUUCCCCCACACCUAAACCAUGCUUGUCCUCAAGCAUGAGAACAACAAAUCAAACAAAUAAAAUCAAACAAUGGCUAUUGUUCAAAUCUUCUAUUGCCAAGAUACAAUUAAAACAUAUGUCAAGUAUUAGUGGUAAUUUUUCAAGCAAUAUCUCUCCAGUUAGCUUUCAAGAUUAAGGACUCUUCUAAUUUAUGACUUACUAGUCUAAGAAUAUAAAAUAUUCAACCAGCAUCCAUAAGCAAAUGGUUCGACUAUUAAGCAAAAUCUCAACAUUAAAAUUCAAGGAUCAGCGGGCUAACAAUUCAUUCAUAUUUUUCACUAUUAGCACUUUUUUUUUUUUAGAAUAUCCCCACUUGAUUGAUUUUUUUUUGUUUUGUUUUAGGGGGAAUGCUUGGUCUUUAGCCAUUUAAGCGUUUUGACGCGAACUCCGACAUUGGCCAAAUGAAGGAACCCGGUUACUCAAUUUUUAUCGCUAAAAGACCACAUACUCAUAGUUAUCAUCGCUUUUUGACGCGAAAGUUAACAUUUGUGAUGAAGACCUCCGGUUACUAGGCAACGAUACUAGCGGAGUAUAGCUGAAUACUAUUCAAAAAUAAGCAUCAAAUUAAAAUUAAUAAUCACACAAACCCGCUUUAUUUCUUAAACAUGAAGAACUAAGAUUAAUAGUUGAACCAAUUUGCAUAAAAAAAUGCUAGAUAAAUAUUUACAAUACUUAGAGAAAUUAACCAAAAAGUGUAAAAGUCACAAAAUCUCAAAUAUUCACCAAAGAGAUACCCUUAAACUUAACCAUGUCAUACUUAACACCUUAAAGUGUAAAAUCUUAGCAAUAGAAAAAUUUGAGACAUCUAACCAUCAUUUAUCAAGAAUAAUCACAAAUAUGCACAAAGAUAGGCAAAAAUUGGAUAAAAUUCAACAAAGUCAAUCAAAAAAUUCCAACAAAAAUACCUACACUUGCACUUUUUCAAUAAAAUACCAAUAUAAUACUCCCCGCCAUACCUAAAUCUUGCAUUGUCCCCAAUGUAAGCACUAAAGAAUAAAAUUCAAAGCAAAAAGGGACAACGAAACUUCCCUGAUCAUCAAAGGGGGGUUGUGGCACAACUGUAGGUGAGAGGCAAAAGACAUGUAGAGCUCGAUGGCAAAACUGAUGACGAUGAAGGCUAUGAUCUGCAGCUAAGGAUGUUAGGUGGUUCACGAUAGAUGAGGAAGAAUUAUACGCGAUGAGCAGCGAUAAUCAGGAACCGACGACCCAUGUUAAACAACGCAACGGUGGCGGUGGAAUUUGAGGUCCUUUGGUUGCGGUCUUGCGGCUGGAAAAGAAAAGAAAGGAAUAAAAAGGAAAGGGAGAGAAGAAGAAAAGAGAGAAAGAAAGAAAGAAAAAGAAAAGAAAGGAAAUUUUUUUUUUUGAAACCACUGCAUUAGAUGUGGGCACGCCUAACUGCCCUUGAAUCUUCUGACCAACCCACGGAAAUCAAGCUCCUUAAGCGUGACCACUUGGCGUGGGCACGCCUAACUACUAGAGAGUCUUCUGACCAUUUUUCAGAAAUUGAGUUCCUUAGGCGUGACCACUUGGCGUGGGUACGCCUAACUACUAUAGAGUCUUCUGACCGCAGACUAAAAUUGCCUCCCUUAAGCGUGACCAUCCGGCAUGGGCAUGCCUAACUGCUGGGUAGUCUUCUGUCCGCCAAAUUAAAACUUCCUUCCUUAGACGUGACCAACUAGCGUGGGCACGUCUAACUGCCAACUUCCUGCCACAAAAGCAACAAAUCAUUAAAUGCAACUAACACUUAAAAAAAACUCUAAAAACAUAUGAAAAUUAAAACAAAAGCCUUGGUUUGCCUCCCAAGCAGCGCCUUUCUUUAAUGUCUUUGGCUAGACAUUUUCAUGUUUAUUCAUGGAGGAUAAAAUCGUGCAACUCGUUUCAGUGCUUCAUCUUCUCUGUAAUCCUGAUAUCCCUCGUAAAUAGAGUAAUCCUUGAGCCCACGAGGUACGGUCUUCUAUGGAUUAGUAGAUGGCGUCAAACAAACAAGUGAUGGCGUUAAAUCUUCACUCACUCUUCCAUCACGAGCACUUAUUGGUUCGAGAUAUUUUGCCAUCGCAACUCUUAACUUAUUCCUGUCAUGAAAUUUAAAAUCUUCUGGUAUAAUAAAAUCAAUUUCACUAACAGGAAUUGAAAAAUAAGAGUUAGAAAAAUAUUGAUUAAGGAAUGGAGGAGAUGUCACCGCAUUUGGAGAUUGUUCACUGGAUUCAUUCACUUGGACCAUUUGAUGCUGAGGUCUCAUAUCUUGCACUUCAACUUUCUUUUCAACUGCAUCUUUAGAUCCUUCUUCUUGAGAUUUUUGCAGUACCAUGUCAUUUGUCAGGAUAAUUACACCCUCAUCUUCUUCAUGGUCGAUAAUAGUUGCUGAGGGCAAUUCUUCACUCAUUCGAGAAGUCAAUUGCGUUAUCUUAGAUGUCAAUUGAUCCAUUUGAUCUGCCAGGUUACGCAUGCUCGCUUGUGUCUCUGAUGAAAGUUCAUUGUCACCUGUUGAAGUAGAUGUGUCUCCUGUUGAAUUUGAUAUGUGUUAGUAGCUAUUAAUUCAACUAUUUCUUCAAGAGACGUACCUGACAUGGAUGACGGUUCUUGAGACUCUAAUUGUUGAAAAUCUAUUAGCCUUUGCUCAUAAUUAAAAUUGGAAUCAUCCCACCAUCCUCCCUCAUACCCAUUUGGAUAAGGGUCAUACCACGUUUGAUAUUGAGGUGAAAAAUUUCCACAAGUAUUUAUUGGAGCACUUAGACCAUUUUGAAAUGCAGAGCACAUGUCGGUUGCAUGAUUUGAGACAAAAUAAGUUCCACAAUUUGCAACAGCCCAUUGAUCAUCAGAUAAAACACGAGUCUCAUAACCCCUUCUAGAAAUAAAAUCCAAUCUAUCACCAAAAUACGGAAAGUUAGCAGCCAUAACUAUAUAUUAAAAAAAUAAGAGAAAAAUAAUAAAAAUAAAAAUAAGAUGAACUAAAAAAGAAACAAAUUAAUCAAACACCAGUCCCCGGCAACGGCGCCAAAAAUUGACAGGUGUCGAACGUGCACAAUAAUAAAUACCUACUCGAAAAAAAUACAGAUUUUGUAUAUAGCGGUGAGUAGAGUCGAAUCCACAGGGAUUGUGGAUAAUUCGUUUCUUUUAGAAUUCAAAGUAUGGGGGGUUUUUGGAUUAAAUGCUAACUAAAUAAAUUAAAUGCAGAAAAUAGUUAAUUAAAAGAAAUAAUUAGAGAAACUCUAACCAAGGGUACACUUCAGAAAUGGUUCAUGCACUGAUCAUCGAUUCACAGAUAAUUCCACAUUUAUUAAUAGAUUGGUUAUAGUUGUCAUACACGCGAUAAACAACCAACCUUUCCUUACUUUCUCGAUAGUUAAGGUACGACCGUUAACUAUUUCUCUAACCCAAAAACAACCCUAGGUACGACCGUAGGAUUUAAUUUCUAGCUUGUAUUAAGAAUUAGAAAGGCCUGAUCCUAACUAACAAACACGCUACGAGGGUUUGUUUAAAUUAGAUCGUAUGUUUCCCUGACAUAAACCCAAUUACGCCAGUUGCUACUGGGAUAGAGAUAACGAACAAUUACGGAUUCAAUUACCCCUAUUUAGCAAAAUAGCUUAUAUGAAUAAUUAAUUAUUGCGCACUAAUCAAUCAUACACAAGAGCUAUAACAAUUAAAAACAGGAAUCAUAUAAAUACCAAUAAAUGAGGAAGCGAUUAAAAUAAAUUCGAUCUCACGGUAAUUGCAGAACCAAAUCUUCAGUUGUCCCUUUACUAGAAUUAGAAGGUUAGUCCCCCAUUAAUGGAGAACAACCAUGCGCAAAAGGUAUCUGAAUCUUACAAAAUUGUUCCUGGCCAAAUCAGCCAACUAGCCAAGGAAAAGUAAUAAGAACAAAGUAAUUGUGCUCUUUUAUUUCUCCCGUGAAAAGAAGAUCCGAAUUUGUUGCUAGCUCCCGUCUUUAUCACGCGGGAUCCGUCCUUUUUUCCUCUUCAAAGUCGGCUGGCCUUCCUUCCUUUUCUCCCUAAUUCCUUACAAAGACAUGCGAAAGUCCCUUUCCUUCCGUCAAACUCAAGCUAGAAAGACUUCCUAAUAGUCUAGAAUCCUAGUCUGUAUGACCCUUCCUAAUCUAAUAGAUUUUCCUAAUAAAAAAAUAGUUUUCUCAUAGUACUCAACUACUAAAUAGAAAAAGGCAAUAAUUAUUCCAGCAUAGCCUCGGACUUGGAAUCGACAAUUCUUUGGAAACUGCCUCGUGCGCGUGAGAUCUCGAAUCUUCUGGACUUGAAUGUAGGUCCCGAACGUGCCUUCACUAAAUUAGAUGGAAAUUGGCCCUUUUAAUCAUGUUUUGGUUAUUUUUCCUACAAUUAGCACCAUUAACCAAAUAUAAGUAGAAUCCAUCAAUUAAUACAAUAUUUGGCUAAAAU